rnacentral:rRNA from 1 species
UACGUAGGGCGCAAGCGUUGUCCGGAAUUAUUGGGCGUAAAGAGCUCGUAGGCGGUUUGUCGCGUCUGCUGUGAAAACCUGAGGCUCAACCUCGGGCUUGCAGUGGGUACGGGCAGACUAGAGUGCGGUAGGGGUGACUGGAAUUCCUGGUGUAGCGGUGGAAUGCGCAGAUAUCAGGAGGAACACCGAUGGCGAAGGCAGGUCACUGGGACGCAACUGACGCUGAGGAGCGAAAGCGUGGGGAGCGAACAGG